AUUUACCAACUAAAUAAAAUAUAUGAUACAUAUUGUAUGUAAUGACAACAAUUCCCUUAUAAGAACAUUAUGCUUUUUUUAGGAAAAGAACAUUAUAGUUAAGUUGUUAGAAAAAUAAAUUAAUAUUCAUGUUUUUAUAAUAUUAAUAAAAAAAAAUUUUGAAGGAAUAAGAUUAAUAAACUUAUUUUCAAGUAUUCUACUAUCCAUAGAUUUAUAAUUUUCUAGACAAUAUUAAAUGAAAAAAAUUAAUUAAAAAAAAAUCAUCCAUGUUUUCUUAAUUUAAAUCUUGUAUUUUUAUUUUUUUGAAUUUAAUAUCAAAUGCUGUUUUAUUUUUGUUUUUAAAACUUAAAUUUUAUCAUAUUUAUUUGUUUCAUAAUUUAUAAUAUUUUAUAAUGAUAAAUGUAUAAAUUAUUUUCUUAUCAUAUUUCGUUGGUUUCUAACCCAACUCAUAUCUAAGAUAUAAAUUUAAAUUAGAGAUGCAUGAUAUUAUAAGAUUCAAUAUUAACUUGCGGAGUAUAUUGUAUUGUCGACAAACCUUUCAUCAAGACAAAAUAUGAUACUCCCUCCGUCUCUAAUUAUAAGACCCUUUUGAGAAUUUUUUUUGUCCCUUUUUAUAAGACAUUUUUGUUAUUUUCAACUACAUUAAUUAUUUCUUUACAUACAUGCCUCUAUUUAUUAUACAUCUUUUUCUUCAAUCAACAAUAAAUAACAUGUUGAAAACAUAAACUAACCUUCUUUCUUAAAGGAUAAAAUUGUAAAAACAAUAGUGAUUACAAACAACUUUAAUACAAAUAUCCACUAUCUUAAUUCCCGUGAUUUUGGUAAAAGGGUCUUAUAUAUAGGGACGGAGGGAGUAUAUUUCUCUCAUGCCUCUUUUAUCUUGGUCAUUAAAUGAGUCAUUGAUUAUUUACCGCAAAGAGGAUAGAUAGAUAAAAUGAUAUUCCUUAAGACUUAAGUUAAGAGUUAAAACAUCAAAAGAUAAAAAAACCAAAGGAACACUGGGAGUUAUUCUUGUGUCACUUCCUAUGAAUGGAAACAAUAGACUAUAUUGAUCUCAUUAUAAUUUUUUUUGAGGAGUGAUCUCAUUAUAAUUGUCUCAUUUUAACUGAGCAUGAUUUUUGAGAAAAUAAGAGUAAUUGUGUUUAAUUUGACAAUGAAACGAGUUUCUUUUACUAAAUCGUUAGUGAAGUUAUUAGAAUGAUUGAGAUACAAAUAAAAAUAUAUUACAAACGAGACACUUAUAAUUAAACGAAGGAAGUAAUAAAGGAUUACAUCCUUUAGUCUCUAUUAUAAAUAAAAAUUGAUAUUUUAGAUUCUUCAAUAAAUAAUGUACGUAGUCUUUAAUAUAUAUCAAAUACAUCAUUUAUAGAAUAAACCUAAAAUAUUAAAAUUUGCUUACAAUAGUAAUCGGAUGGUGUAGUUCAAGUCUAAUCUCUAUUUCUACAAAUACUAUUUUUUAUUAACUGAGUUAAUGUAAAGUUCACAUAAGUUUAAAAGCAUGUGGACCUAUGAUAUUUAUUUACUUUGGUUAUAGAAGCAUCAGUGGGAUACUCUAACUCUCUAAAGGAAUAUAUCAUAUAUUGACAAUUGAGAAUAUAGCCAAAAUGAGAAGUCGUUUUUGUCAAUUAUAGGAUAAUUUAUAUAAGGUUUAUCCAUAUGGCCCUUUUGUCAUGUUUCUCACAAGAGACAGAAAUGCUAUCGCAAUUAGAACAUAUUUCUCUUUGAAACUUGGAUGGGAAAGAAUAAAAAGAUGAUCGAUGUAGAUAUUUAGAGUAAGAUAUUUAAUUUGUAAAGUGACAGCCAAAAAUUUAUAAUGAAAGAGAGUUGUUCAACAAACAUACGUAGAUCGGAUUUUGCAUGCAUCAGCACAUGAAUGUGAGACAAUUGCUUAAUGUUAAGAAUUAACAUAUAUGUAAUUGUAGUGGUUUGGAUGAGAAGAUUAGAUAAUUAGAUUUUUUUUUGGAGAGAGAUUAUAUUAGAUAAUUAGAUAUUCUACUAUACUAGCUAAGGUCUUUCAUAUUUACAAUUUUGUUCUUUCUCUCAAAAUAAAAAAAAAUAAAAAAUAUUGUUCUUAAACAAUACUAUUAAUCAAAUGAUCUGACCAACUUAACUACCAACUUAUGAUCAACUAGACAAUACCUUCAAUUAUAGGAUUUACUUAAUUGUUGUUCAUUUAUAGAAUAUAUAAUGUGUAUUUUUUUUCUCAACUACUGAUCUUUUUAAAUGAUUUUUUCAAUUAUUUUUACUUUAAAAUAUAUUUGUUUAUUUUUAUAUAAAAGUCAGAAUUUUAUUGAUUGAAAAAAAUAGCAUAACCAUUGAGGACCAAGCCUAAACCCAAUUAAUUACAAGUAAAACAAAAUUAGGUAAACCUAUUAAGUCUCUAACAUAGAAAGGCCUAACAAAUCUAGGUAAAGAGUUACCACCAUUGACCAUUAACAAGAUCAAUGCCAUGCUUAGCUAAAGCAUCAAUCCCAAGUUAUGUGUACAUAUACUAUUCAAGCUCUUAGCUACUUUGUAAACAAUUUCUCCGACUAGUUCUGUCUGAUUAUUCUCGAACCACCAUUUUCUCAUUAUUGAAUGCAAACACCAUAACUUGCGAGGCACUCAUUAAGUCGGAUACUAAGUUAGAAAAAAACGAUAUGAUAAAUUAGACUCAGACAUUAUUAAUUAAUGAUAAAGCCUUUUUUUUUGUUUUUACAAGAAUUAAUUGAAUAGGCCUUUUGCUCCUUUUUUUAGGUAAAGCAGGAGAGAGGACAGCAUUAAGGAGAAGCAACGACAUCCUAAUUAGGUUGGCACCCCGAUGAACUCCCAUCCCGCACCGCCACCUUUUGCUCCUUAUUCUUUCAAAAAAUAAAAAAAGAUUUUGCUCUUCGUAAUUAAAUUUAAAGAUAAUAAAAUAAAUUUUCUAUAUAAGUUAUCAAAUUGCGUACGUGCCUAAAAAAGGGUUGCCUGCGUAAGUGAUUUUUUAUUUUUUUUAGUUGAGUUGCCUACGACCUACGUAAGUGAUUAUCACAGCAUUUCGUUAAGACAUGUAUAAGUGAAAUAUUUAUAUCAAAUAAUGCGAUAAUUUUAUUUCACAACUGUACAUUAACUUAUUAAUGAAAAAGAUUGAUUGCAAGUUGCCAAAUUUUUUAAUCUUGACUUUGGUGAAUUAAAAACUCUAGUUGAGAGAAAACUAUCCACCUUGUAUAUGCCUUCAGAUUCUCAUAUAGAGAUUAGUCAACAUAAUGAUGUACACUUUGCAUCUAAUUUUAUUAUAUGGUCACGAAAAAAAACAAAAUUAUUUAUAUAAAUUUGAGUUAUAUCUUGGAUAUUGAUAUAUCUAACCCACACUUCCACACAGGGCCGUCUUAACAAAUUCAUAGGCCCGGUUUUAAUUUUAUAAGGGAUGCAAAAAAAAAAAAUCUGGGCCCCAAAAAAAUAAAUAAGUUAUUUAAAAAAAAAUAUAAUUAAAAAUCACACUUUGGUGGGUCUUGAACACAUGACCUCACACUCAACAAAAAAUAGCCAUGCCACUAAAGCAAGCUGUACAAAUUGAAUAAAUUUGCUUUUAAUAGAUAUAUAAUCAUUAUUUUCGUGUCUUACAUAUAAAAAAAAUAUAUUUUGGGCCCCAAAAAAUUGGAGACCCGGUGUCGUCGCCCAGCCUCGACGGGCUAUGGGCCGGCCCUGCUUCCACAUUAAGAUAGAAAGAGUGGUCAAGAAUGAUGAGAAGGCAACAAGAAAUUCAUGUGUGACUGGUUGAGCUAGGAAGGAUUCACUAGAACCAUUUGAAUUUUUGUAACGGUAAGAAUUCAUGUGUAUGUUUUUUUUUAUGCAACUUGCAAUAUGAUUUAAUUUCGAAAAUAAAUCAACUAUACUGAUUUUAUUUUUUUUAAAUCAAGUAUCUUCUGUGCGCGUAGCUGCAGAGACUAAUCUCUCGAGCUGAGUAAGAGUUUUAACGUUGUUGCAUGUGUAAGGUAGAUUCUAGCCCUGGACUUUAGUCAAGUUAAAAGAUAUCUAUGUCAUCUCAUGUAUCAUACUCGUCUAUAAUACAUGUUAAAAUAGUUCUUUUGAAUCACCUAAGUGGUAUGGUAAAAUGUCCAACCAUUUCACUCCCCGUUUUGAUCUUUUUGAUUGUAUGAUUUUAUUUUAUUUUUUUACCUAAAUUUAUGGUAUUAGGUAGUAUAUUCAUUUUGAUGUUAGGUGAGCAUGAAGUACCAUAUAUACAUUUCCAUAACCAUUUAUUCAACUAAUUAAUUUUACUAACUUGUUGACCAGCUGCUACUGGUCUAUUACAGUUUAGUAUAGUAAAAGAAAAUGUUAAUUUUAUGUUAAUUUGUUGUAGUCAGGUUCAUUCUAUUCUCAUAAUUUAUUAUUGGGUCUUGUUAACCAAUGUCCUUAGGGUACUAGUUAAGGAUUCAAAUAUAGAAAUAAUUUAUAAGUUUUAUGUAAAUAAAUUUACUUUUUAAACUUUCAAUAUGUCAAAUACAUUAUUAGAUAAAAUUUCCUUUUUAAACUUCUUAAUAUUUCCCUUUAUUAUUAUAUGAAACAUUGAGUAAUUAUAUAUUUGAAACCUUAUAGUUUUCCUUUGUUUUUCUCGAAAUAAUAUGGCUUGAUUGACUAAAAAAAAGUUGCUUGCUUGGUACAUAAUCUUUAACACAAAAUUAGACAUCAAUAUUAUAUAUUUGUAUAGUAAUUACCAACUUUUAUGUUACUUUUUCUCUAACCUUGGGCAUUUUUUUCUCUCUUUAGGUUCAACAUGACUCAUUCAUAUAGUGUUGAUUUUCGUAAAUGACACAGUUGAUGCAACAAUGGUUGAUCACUUAACAAAAAAACAUCAACCUCAAUCAUAUGUUUAGACCUUACACGAAACACUGGAUUGGAAGCAACAACCUUUGCACUUAGAUUCUCACACAACAAAAUUUGCAUGGUUUAUUAUUAAUGGGUUGAUAUAUCAGCUGUAUUAUUUAGACGAAUAAAAACUAACAUCAUAUUCCGACACUAUAUACGAAUGAGUGUGGACAUCAAAUAUGAGGAAAAAAAAUAUCCUAUAAGAGAGAACAAAUUAUAGAAAAUUUAAAAACCGUAUAAAAAUACAGGGUUGAUGUCAGAUUUUGUGUCAAAAAACAUUUGAUGAUUUUCAUUACAAGCAUUGCCUAAAGCUCGUGCUUGUUUCUAAUUACUGUUUAGAUUUGAUGAUUUCAACCAUAAUAUUACCACUCAAUUUCAUUGUAAGCCACAGGAAAGUAAUUUAUUAAUUGAAAACAAAGGCUAAGAUGUGUCUUUUGAUAGUGUUGUACAUGUACUAUCUGUACUAUAGUUGUCUCCAAGAAACACAUGACACAUUGUGACUUGUGAGUCUUUGUGCCUUUUGACCGUCUUGGUUAUAUCAAAAUUUCAUUUGAUUAUAGGCGAGUGAAUGCAUGUCGUGUAACAAAAUUCAAUCACCUCUAUUUUUUUGGUAAGAUAAACCAAAUAACAAUAAUCAUUCAUUCCUUCCUUUAAAAAAAAUAAAAAUAAAUCAUAAAUAGAGUAGUCUGGAUUUGAACCUUGGUCCAGCGUACAACCUAACACUUUCUUCAUUUAUCUUAUUUGAUUGAAUGUGUCGGAUAUUUUUGCAACAAAUCUAAAAUCUUAUAAGCAUCUUUUGAAAUUCUUUCUUUGAGGUCCAAAGAACUUUUGCAUUAUAUUGUAUAUUGUACUUUGUGCAAUUUAUAGUGUUAAAGUUAUAGUAAUUUAGUAUAGCAUCUCGUUUCAUACCUUUUCUAAACAUCGAAAAUGUCUUAAUGUUGAUUUGGAAUCUUUCCAUUCAUGAACAUCAACUUAUUAUUACUUGGACAUCAAGGUUGUUUUCAUAGGUCGACCCCAUAAAUUGUAAUUGAUUCCAUUCAUAUGAAGUGAACAAGAACAAUUCCUAGUACGGCUUGAGGGAUUUUGAGACUAAUUUGCGACAUUAAGAGGUUUGUGUUGCUUGAACAGGCUUUAUCCACAUGAUUGACGAUUAAGGAACAAUGCAUUGAAAUAGAGAAUAUAGAGCCAGAGACAUUUUCCACCCAAGUUUUAGAUCCAUGAAUUAUCUUUGGUUUCUCUUGGUAGAAAAACUUUCUCCACUCUCCAACAUGUUUUUUUCUUUCUUUCUUUCUAAUACAAAGUUUUAUUGAAUAGGGUCCGGUGGUUAACCAGAGUCAAUGUAGAUCUUAAUGUUCACAGAACAUUUACAAAUUACACAACAACGAAGUUCUAACUUUGAAUGUGAGAUUUGAAGUCACGUUCUUAUCAUAUAUGAAUCAAUUUCUUACAAACCGGAGCAAUCUGCGUAGAUCUUCAACAUGAUUUCAUAUAUACACAUUUUCUAUGGUUAAAUUCUCGUACAUUUGGUACGUACCAACAAAUUACGUUCAUUUAAAUAUCUUGAUGGUUAACAUAUAUUAAAUUUCACGUAUACAUUUCGUACUAGCUUGUAUAAGUUCACUAGAACAUUUUUUAUGGUUAAAGAUUCACAUACAGUUAAAUACACACAUACUAUUGUAUUUCAGUUGACGUAACAAGUUAGUUUUAGCCGCUUAAGUUCAUGUGCAUAGUGCAUAUAAAAUAUGACUAAUGUUAAGCUAUAAAUUUUAUUUCAUCGACGCUUUUGGUAAAUAAGAUUAAAUUAUUAUAAUUGUUAAUGAUAGAAAAUAAUUAUUUUUUCUUCAAAAAACAAUCAAUUUAAUUAUUAAUUUAAUGUUUGAUGUACCAAUACAUUCAAAAUAUUGAGUGUACCAUAGAAUUUGCCAAUUAACAUACACCGUAUGAAUUGAAUUUGCCUAGUGUCUGUAGAUUGCAUGAACUGAAUUUGCAUACGUGUUAACACGAGUUUCAAAUGUAGAAAAAAAAAAUAGCAAACAGAGAAAAAGGUCACUUGUAUGUAGUUAAUGAAAGAUAUUAAAUAGAAUGUAUAUAAGGUAGGGGUUCUUGGGCAUUAUUGUUAAAUAAUUUGUUUUAAAGGGGUGUAACUAGGAUGUUGCAUGGUGUAAUUAUAAAAAAUCUUGUUUUUGUGAUAUUGGCCUAUGGACGGUAUUUCCUUAGAUCAAGUCUUUCAAAAGCUUAUAGAGCCCAAUUUUUCAAUAUCUUUUAAAAGUGGCUCGAUAAACAUCUCAAUUUCGCUUCCGAUCGAGUUGUAACUUCCGAUCAAUUGUUUUUGCGUGUAAAAUCCAACUAGAUCGUAACUCCCGGUUGACUUUUUUCAGCUAAAUGAUGGAUGGAUGGUUAAAAUAUAUUGCAUAAACUAUUGCAAAUUUAUAGUUUUUUAAAAGAAAAUUUAAAAUAGAGGAGAAAUUGACCAAAUAUAUGCCACCUAACACUAUUCACACUCCUAUUUUUGUUAAGGUUCGUUUACAAUACAAAUAAGCAUACAUACCCUGUAUUAUUUGAAGUGAGUAUACCCUGUUAAUGUUAAGUACACGUAUUCUUUUUUCUAUCAUAAAUUAUGUCACCUCAUAAUCACAUUGGUACAUUGGAUCAUCAGAUUUUAACAUAACCAUGUCAUCUCAUAAUAUAAUAUAGUUCAUAUGUAGAUAUAAUUGGUAAAAUUAUGUUCUCACAAACAUCCAAACCAAGAGUUCUGAUUUCAUUGGCCCCUUGAUAUAUGCUUUUUCCUUUGUGGACAUUCUAUGUUUGAUUAUCAGUAGAGAUGUUACAACUACAAGAAGGUUACAUUUCCUCUUUCACCAUAUCAUCUACAUCUCUAAGUAUUACAUCUCAACCAAAUCACCUUAUCAUAAUACACAAACCAUACUCCAUAAAUAACAAGCUAAAACUUAUCAACCAAAUCAGUAAAAUCACAAACAUCUUCUUACAAUGGCUGCAGUGUUUUGGGCAUUGGCUUUAGCAAGCCUAUGCUACCCUCUAGCCUCAAUCAAUGCUCAAUCACAUGCAGCUGCACCAUCCAAUUUGCCAAUUACAACUUCACCGUUUGUAGCGAAACAACAACCUGUUGUGGCAGCAAUUUCUCCUACUUCUAACAAACCCACAGCCACGGUCACGGCAGCUGCACCAUCGAAGUUGCCAACCACAAAUCCAUCGGAACCAUCAACACUGCCAUUAUACAAACAACAGCCUAUUGUGGCUGCAACUCCUGCUAGUAAUACAAACAAACAACAGCCUAUUGUGGCAGCAACUCCUGCUAGUAAUACAAACAAACAACCUGCAGCAACUUCUCCUACUUCUAACAAACCCAUAACCACAGUCACGGCAGCUGCACCAUCGAAGUUGCCAACAACGAAUCCAUCUGCACCUUCCACAUUGCCCCUAGACAAACAAAAGCCUAUUGUAGCAGCAACUCCUGCUAGUAGUACAAAGCAACCACCAGCAGCAACCUCUCCUAUUUCUAACAAACCCUCGACCACGAUCUCAGCAGCAGCACCAUCCAAAUUACCAACUAUAAUCCCUGCUGCACCUUCCAAGUUGCCAACGGCAGCUUCACCAACUUCUAGUACACCAUCCGCUGCUAAAAAACCACCUAUUGUCGUAGCAACUUCUCCCUUGUCUAGCAAACAACCAACCACCACUCAACCGCCUACAACUGCAAAAUCAUCCCCUGUAAAAUCACCAGUUCCUAAAGUUACGUCUCCAGCAUCUUCCCCUGUGAAGUCACCAGUCCCCAAAGUCGCGACCCCAACAUCUGCUCCCGUGAAGUCACCAGUUCCAAAAGCUACGACUCCAACAUCUGCUCCUGUGAAACCGCCAGUUCCAAAGGUUGCAACUCCAACGGUUGCACCGGCUAAACCACUGGUUCCCAAAGUUACAACUCCAACAGCUGCACCUGUGAAACCAAUAGUUCCAAAAACUACAACUCCAACAUCUGCUCCUUUGAAACCACCAGUUCCGAAAGCUCCCGCACCAAAACCUUCUCCUGUGAAACCACCAGUUCCAAAAUCAAAACCUCCAACAACUGCUCCUGUCAAAUCACCAGUUCCGGAUCCUCCAAAACUCGCUCCUGUAAAGUUGCCAGUCCCAAAGGUUACACCGGCAUUAAGCCCAAAAACCCCAUCCCCUAAAAUUCAACCACCACCACAUCCACCCAAAAAAGCACCUGUUUCUCUACCACCAUUAUCUAUACCACCUGUUUCACUUCCACCAUUACCAUUACCACCAGCUUCUAAACCACCAAAGGUAUCCCCAGCACCUGCAAAGGUUCCAAAAGCACCAGCACCGGCCAAAGAAGCACCAGCACCAGCACCUACACACAAAAAGAAAGCACCAGCACCCGCACCAGACAAAGAAACACCGGCACCAGCACCUACACACAAAAAGAAGAAAGCACCAAAAUCAUCACCUGUUCCUUCCCCAGCAAUUCUCCCACCAUCACCUGCACCAACACCUGCAAUAGACACACCAUCAUCAGCAC
rnacentral:lncRNA from 1 species